rnacentral:rRNA from 1 species
UCUUUAUAUUUGAAGUUAAAAUUUGAUUUAUAAAUUAAAUUAAAUUUAAUUAUAAAUAUUCUAUUGGGGCGAUAAGAAAAUUUAAAAAACUUUUUUUUAUUAAACAAUAAUUAUUGAUUUAUUGAACUAGAAAUUUUAGUUAAAGAAUAAGU